rnacentral:rRNA from 1 species
AACGAACGCUGGCGGCGUGUCUUAAGCAUGCAAGUCGUGCGGCAAGGGUAGCAAUACCCCUAGAGCGGCGGACUGGUGAGUAACGCGUGGGUGAUCUACCCUUGGGAUGGGGAUAGCCACUAGAAAUAGUGGGUAAUACCGAAUACGUUCCCCCGAUUUUGAUUGGGGGAGGAAAAGCGCUUCGGCGCUGCCCGAGGAUGAGCCCGCGUCCCAUUAGCUAGUUGGUGAGGUAACGGCCCACCAAGGCGAUGAUGGGUAGGCGGCCUGAGAGGGUGUACGCCCACACUGGGACUGAGAUACGGCCCAGACUCCUACGGGAGGCAGCAGCUAAGAGUAUUCCGCAAUGGGCGAAAGUCUGACGGAGCGACGCCGCGUGGAUGACGAAGGCCGAAAGGUUGUAAAGUCCUUUUGUUGGGGAAGAAUAAGCGCGGGAGGGAAUGCCCGCGUGAUGACAUGAACCGACGAAUAAGCCCCGGCUAACUACGUGCCAGCCGCCGCGGUAA